CCUACGGGUGACAGCAGUGGGGAAUAUUGCUCAAUGGGGGAAACCCUGAAGCAGCAACGCCGCGUGGAGGAUGAAGGUUUUCGGAUUGUAAACUCCUUUUGUUAGAGAAGAUAAUGACGGUAUCUAACGAAUAAGCACCGGCUAACUCCGUGCCAGCAGCCGCGGUAAUACGGAGGGUGCAAGCGUUACUCGGAAUUACUGGGCGUAAAGAGAGCGUAGGCGGGAUAGCAAGUCAGAUGUGAAAUCCUAUGGCUUAACCAUAGAACUGCAUUUGAAACUGUUAUUCUAGAGUGUGGGAGAGGUAGGUGGAAUUCUUGGUGUAGCGGUAAAAUCCGUAGAGAUCAAGAGGAAUACUCAUUGCGAAGGCGACCUGCUAGAACAUAACUGACGCUGAUGCGCGAAAGCGUGGGGAGCAAACAGGAUUAGAUACCCCGGUAGUC
rnacentral:rRNA from 1 species